rnacentral:tRNA from 5 species
GCGAUAGUAGCUCAGUUGGUUAGAGCACCGGCUUGUGGUGCCGGGGGUCGCCGGUUCGAAUCCGGUCUGUCGCCCCA